rnacentral:rRNA from 1 species
AUUGAACGCUGGCGGCAGGCCUAACACAUGCAAGUCGAGCGAGCGGCGGACGGGUGCGUAAUGUAUGGGGAUCUGCCCGAUAGAGGGGGAUAACUACUGGAAACGGUAGCUAAUACCGCAUACUAUCGGAUGAACCCAUAUGGGAUUAGCUAGUAGGUGGGGUAAAGGCUCACCUAGGCCACGAUCACUAGCUGGUCUGAGAGGAUGAUCAUCCACACUGGAACUGAUACACGGCCCAGACGCCUACGGGAGGCAGCAGUGGGGAAUAUUGCACAAGGGGCGCAAGCCGGAUGCAGCCAUGCCGCGUGUAGGAAGAAGGCAUUAGGGUUGUAAAGUACUUUCAGCGGGGAGGCGUUACACGCAGAAGAAGCACCGGCUAACUCCGUGCCAGCCGCCGCGGUAAUGC